GUGAAAACUCAAUUCCAUCAUCAUUUGGCACUGAGUGAAUUAUUUGGACAUUGAGCUCAAUUGAACCUUCAGAUGACUUGUCCUCAUAGUUGACUUUUGCAACCACAUGUGAGUCCCCAAGCAAGGACCACCCAGCUGACCCCAGUUAACCUACAGAGCCACAAGAGACAAAGGAUUCCUGAGAAAGGAGUGAUGGGGAACACAUGUACACCCAUGGUGGAUUCAUGUCAAUGUAUGGCAAAACCAAUACAAUAUUGAAAAGUAAUUAGCCUCCAAUUAAAAUAUAUAAAUUAAACAAAAUAAAC
ensembl:lncRNA